rnacentral:rRNA from 1 species
AUUGAACGCUGGCGGCAUGCCUUACACAUGCAAGUCGAACGAGGUGCUUUUGUAGCAAUACGAAAGUAUCCUAGUGGCGAACGGGUGAGUAACGCGUUGGUGACCUACCCCAAAGUGUGGGAUAACAGUUCGAAAGAACUGCUAAUACCGCAUGUGGUUAUCGGGUUUAGAAACUGAUAACUAAAGGAGCAAUUCGCUUUGGGAGGGACCUGCGUCCCAUCAGCUAGUUGGUGAGGUAACGGCUCACCAAGGCUACGACGGGUAGGGGACCUGAGAGGGUGGCCCCCCANAAUGGAACUGAAACACGGUCCAUACACCUACGGGUGGCAGCAGUAGGGAAUAGUUGCACAAUGGGCGAAAGCCUGAUGCAGCAACG